UUUAGCAAUUUUUGCUGAUGUCAGCAUUUUUACUCGUAAUUUCUACCCGUUUCCCCGCGGUAAACCAAGGUCUACAAGUAAAAGACAAACGGGUACGGGUGUUUUCUGUUUACUAUAUGUGGGCCGUUUAAAUAGUAAAUAUUUUCAACAUCUUACCCAAAUAAAUAAUGCACAUAUGCUGGUCAAAGUUUUCAACAAUUUAUGGCGAACCUCAACAGCGAAAGUUACCAUUCUCUGAUCGGUUUUCACACGCCGGAAUAUAUUGGAUUUCUUAAGUUACAAGUCGUUCCCCGAUUUACG
rnacentral:lncRNA from 1 species